rnacentral:rRNA from 1 species
UACGGGGGGGGCAAGCGUUGUUCGGAAUUACUGGGCGUAAAGGGCUUGUAGGUGGCCAACUAAGUCGGACGUGAAAUCCCUCGGCUUAACCGAGGAACUGCGUCCGAUACUGAAAGGCUUGAAUCCGGGAGAGGGAUGUGGAAUUCCAGGUGUAGCGGUGAAAUGCGUAGAUAUCUGGAGGAACACCGGUGGCGAAGGCGGCAUCCUGGACCGGCAUUGACGCUGAGGCGCGAAAGCUAGGGGAGCAAACGGG